rnacentral:tRNA from 3 species
GCGGGCGUGGCGGAACUGGUAGACGCACUAGAUUUAGGUUCUAGCGCCGCAAGGCGUGGAGGUUCGAGUCCUCUCGCCCGCACCA